GGGGUACCUCUGAGGGGGUGUGGAGGUCCACAGCCAGCUGGAGGUCGGUGAUGAGCUCUAAGGAGGUUCUGUAGGGGGGGUUCUUCAGGUGACAGAGCCGCUUCUGGACCAGAGCCAGAGCCUGAAGAACACAACACCUUUACCCUCAGCCCCACCGCCCCGUGGUCACACACUACCGGCGCUCGGCAGCCAUGGAUCUCGUCUAAUUAGGAUGAUCCAUUAAGCACUUUAUCAAGUACCAAUAAUCAUUAUUUUGCUUAGUGUUGCAGUUAACGGAUCAUUAUAAAACAAAUGGUUUAAGUUUUCUUGGCUGCUGGUCAGAUAAAGAAUGUCCAUCAAAGACCUGACUGUUGGAAUACCUCUGUGGGGUCUCCCAGCUGGCACAGCAGGGACAGCAGCACGCACUCACACUUCUGUUGGGAGAGGAGCAACGUCAGCCUCACGUCUACACGACGUCGGCCUCACGUCUACACAACGCCGGCCUCACGUCUACACAACGUCGGCCUCACGUCUACACAACGCCGGCCUCACGUCUACACAACGUCGGCCUCACGUCUACACAACGCCGGCCUCACGUCUACACAACGUCGGCCUCACGUCUACACAACGCCGGCCUCACGUCUACACAACGUCGGCCUCACGUCUACACAACGCCGGCCUCACGUCUACACCGCGUCAGCCUCACGUCUACACCGCGUCAGCCUCACGUCUACAUCAGAGGACCAGAGCUGGUGUGUGUUCUAGGUCCAGAGUGUGUGUUCUAGGUCCAGAGUGUGUUUUCUAGGUUCUGGUGUGUGGUUCUAGGUUCUGGUGUGUGGUUCUAGGUUCUGGUGUGUGUUCUAGGUCCAGAGUGUGGUUCUAGGUUCUGGUGUGUGGUUCUAGGUUCUGGUGUGUGUUCUAGGUCAAGAGUGUGUGUUCUAGGUUCUGGUGUGUGGUUCUAGGUUCUGGUGUGUGUUCUAAGUCCAGAGUGUGUGGCUCUAGGUCCAGAGUGUGUGGUUCUAGGUUCUGGUGUGUUUUCUAGUUUCUGGUGUGUGUUCUAGGUUCUGGUGUGUGGUUCUAGGUCCAGAGUGUGGUUCUAGGUUCUGGUGUGUGGUUCUAGGUUCAGAGUGUGGUUCUAGGUUCUGGUGUGUGGUUCUAGGUCCAGAGUGUGUGUUCUAGGUACUGGUGUGUGGUUCUAGGUUCUGGUGUGUGUUCUAGGUUCUGGUGUGUGUUCUAGAUUCUGGUGUGUGUUCUAGGUUCUGGUGUGUGUUCUAGGUUCUGGUGUGUGGUUCUAGGUUCAGAGUGUGUGUUCUAGGUUCUGGUGUGUGUUCUAGG
ensembl:lncRNA